CGGCAAAAGCUCAAAUUUGAAAUCUGGCCCUUCCGGGGUCCGAGUUGUAAUUUGUAGAGGAUGCUUCGGGUGCGGCCCCUGUCUAAGUGCUCUGGAACGGGCCAUCGGAGAGGGUGAGAGCCCCGUCUGG
rnacentral:rRNA from 1 species